rnacentral:rRNA from 1 species
GAUGAACGCUGGCGGCGUGCCUAAUACAUGCAAGUCGAGCGAACAGACGAGGAGCUUGCUCCUCUGACGUUAGCGGCGGACGGGUGAGUAACACGUGGAUAACCUACCUCUCAGACUGGGAUAACUUCGGGAAACCGGCGCUAAUACCGGAUAAUAUAUUGAACCGCAUGGUUCAAUAGUGAAAUACGGUUUUGCUGUCGCUUAUAGAUGGAUCCGCGCCGCAUUAGCUAGUUGGUCAGGUAACGGGUUACCAGGGGGACGAUGCGUAGCCGACCUGAGCGGGGGGUCGGCGACACGGGAAGUGAGACACCGUCCAGAGGCCUACGGGAGGCAGCAGUAGCGAAUCUUCGGCAGGGGGGGAAAGCCUGACGGAGCAGGGCGGAGUGAGUUAUGAAGGCCUUCGGAUCGUAAAGCUCUGCUACUAGGUAAGAACAAAUUUGUAAGUAACUGAACGCUUCUUGACGGUACCUGGACAGAAAGCCCCGGCUAACUACGUG